rnacentral:rRNA from 1 species
CGGGGUGAGUAAUGUCUGGGAAACUGCCUGAUGGAGGGGGAUAACUGCUGGAAACGGUAGCUAAUACCGCAUAACGUCGCAAGACCAAAGAGGGGGACCUUCGGGCCUCUUGCCAUCGGAUGUGCCCAGAUGGGAUUAGCUAGUAGGUGGGGUAACGGCUCACCUAGGCGACGAUCCCUAGCUGGUCUGAGAGGAUGACCAGCCACACUGGAACUGAGACGCGGUCCAG